rfam:Schistosoma mattheei strain Denwood, Zambia genome assembly, scaffold: SMTD_contig0002528
AUCCAGCCAAAGAGUCCAAAAUAGGACGAAACGCACUUUCUAGAU